rnacentral:misc_RNA from 1 species
ACAAACAGCCAAUGAUUGGCUGCAGCAAACAUUACAUACACACCCUAUUUGGUAGAGCUGCGGACCACUCUCCCAUAUUCACACAACAACACAGACCAAGCCACACUGUACUGGCAGCACAUAUCAGCAGUAGUAACGAUAGAACUAACUCUACAGCAGGAUACACAUCACAUCUAACGAUAAACUUUGGAGGAUUUUAUCUGCAUUGAUGAAAAAUUUCCACAAGGUUAUGUUGGCUCAGCUGUGUUUAUGGCUGUUUCUUCUAGAACCUUCUCAUUGUGUAGACCUUAUCUACUAUGUAGAAGAAGGAAUGUCCCCAGGAACUUACAUUGGGGACAUAGCUGCUGAUACACAAUUUGCUGACAGUUUUCCACAUCAAGACAGGAAUUUGAUUACAUUCAGUCAAUUGCAUGAAAACUUGAAUGGAAAUAAUCACCUAUUUAAUGUGACUGAAGUCGGGAAACUAUAUACAGCUCAAAUCUUGGAUACUGAGUCUCUGUGCAAAUAUAACGCUAAAUGUUUUAAAAUGGUAGAAGUUGCAGUUCAACACAAGUUGUCAUUCUUCAAAAUAUUAGAAAUCAAAAUAGUCAUUGAAGAUAUCAAUGACUACUCUCCAAUGUUUCCAAAUAAAGAAAUCCAUCUCCAGUUCUCAGAAACAGAUGGCAAAGGUACAACUAAAUCAAUACCAAAUGCUGUUGAUAGAGAUUAUGGUAUCUCUAAUUCUAAAAUUUCUUAUCGACUUGACAAGAGUGUGAGUGACCCAUUCAUUUUAUCAGUUUCCAAAAAAGUCGAUGGAACUUCAAAACUUGGUAUCAUUCUGAAAGAAAAGCUUGACAGAGAGCAGAAGAACAACUAUAGUAUCCGUGUUAUUGCAAAUGAUGGAGGAUCUCCUUCCAAACAAGGAAUUUUAAAAGUUCUAAUAGACAUUAAAGAUGAAAAUGACAAUUCCCCAAUUUUCACUCAGAACACUUACAAUGUUACUAUCAAUAACCAACACCAGAAAAAUAUACCGAUUCUUACUUUGUCUGCUAAUGAUUUAGAUCAUGGAAAAAAUGGCCAAAUUACAUAUCAUUUCAGCUCUGAAACUUCAGAACUUGCAAAAUCAUAUUUUAACCUAAAUGAACAAACUGGAGAAAUUUUCCUAUGGGAUAACUUUUCUUUUGAACGAAGGCAAAAAUAUAAGCUCUUCAUUGAAGCAACUGAUAGUGGAGUUCCACCUUUAAGUUCAACUACAAUUGUUCUUAUAAAUGUGAUCAACCAGCAAAAUAAUGCACCACAAAUAGAAAUGAAAUUUGUUUCCAAAUCUAAAGGCAACAAAGUUACUAUUUCAGAGGGUGUCAAAGUUGGUAGUUUCAUAGCCUAUGUGAAGGUAACUGACAGUGACAGUGGACAUAAUGGAGAAGUGACAUGCAGUCUUCAUCAUGAUAAACUGCAACUUCAAAGCUUAGGGAAAAACAAAUACAAAGUUGUGAUAAAGAGUCAAGUAAACAGAGAAACAGAGAGCCAUAUAAAUUUUACAAUUGUAUGUGAAGACGAAGGUUCACCAUCUCUGGAAACAACUAAAAGGUUUUCAAUUCAAGUCACUGACAUCAAUGAUAUGCAACCCAAAUUUAUGAAAGACACUUUCAAAUUUCUUACCUAUGAAAACGAGAAGCCAAAUUUUCCAAUUGGCUUCAUAAAAGUUACUGAUCCUGAUCUGGGAGCUGGAGGUCAACUGUCAUAUUUUUUGUUCAGCAAUAAAGGAAACAUGCUUCCAUUUAAGAUUUCUAAUUUUGGAUUUAUUUCAACAACACAGUCACUAGAUCGAGAGAAACAAGAUAUUUAUGAAUUGCAAGUUAUAGUAAAAGACAAUGGUUCACCAUCACUUAACAAUACUGCAAAGGUUAUUGUGGAAGUCAUGGAUGAAAAUGAUAAUGCUCCUUAUUUCACAUUUCCUAGUGUCAACCCUUUCAGACUGGAUAUUUAUUACCAACCCAAAAGCACGCAUGACAUCACAACAUUAAGAGCCUCUGAUAGAGACAGUCAUGUCAAUGCUUUUCUACGAUAUGAAAUUCAAGGGGGAAAUGAUAAACAAUUGUUCACAGUGAACCCAUACACAGGUGUGAUGUCUUUUUCCCGACCUGUCUAUCAAAAUGAUGCUGGAUCAUAUGAUCUUCAACUUGUUGUGAAAGAUGGUGGCAUACCAGUGCUCUCUGCAACAACUUAUCUUUCACUAAUACUGACUGUUAGUAAUAAGACUUCAAAAAUGUUCACAGCAAUAGACACACAGUCAGAUGAUAAAAUACAUCUAAACCUUGUGAUUAUUAUUGUAGUUGCGGCUGUAAUAAUAUCAAUAGCUAUUGUAGUUUCUAUGGCAAUCUGUAUUAUUCAUAGAAAAAAUCGCCGAAAUGUCCAAUAUCAUGGUGGUGUGAAUGAUUCUAACAAAUUUUUAGAUCAAAGAAUACAAUCAGGUUAUGUUUGUGAACAAAUAUCACCUCAAUAUGAUGCCCCAGUUACUAUGGUAACAGAUCUUGCCAAUACAAGAAAUUCACAAUCAACAUUACCAAGACGAGAACCACAGUCAGGUUAUGAAUCAGGACAUAGUUGGAAAGUUUCAAAUUCAGGAAUACAUCUCCAGGAUAUUACAGAAUGGACACAUCAGGUAUGUCCUUAAAAUAAUGAUACAGCUACAUCUAUGCAUGGAAGAUUGUGAAAUAUAAACAACAAAACCUCUAGGCAUACAUUAAACAAUUCUACACUCAACUAAUUUAAAGUUAUUUACAUAACAGAAGGCAAAUUAAAAUACUCUUCACCUUUAAGUCAUGCUUUCAUUGAUGAACAUUUUAUUAGAAUUUUUCAAUAAUUCUAUGGAAAAGUUUUUUGUUUUUCUUCUUGUAAUGAAAGUCUUCAGUGAUAUCUGGUGUUGGUAAAAAAGACAAUACAGUUACAGUCCCAGAACGUAUUAG